rnacentral:rRNA from 1 species
UACAGAGGCCUCAAGCGUUAUCCGGAAUUAUUGGGCGUAAAGGGUGCGUAGGUGGUUGUGUUAGUCGACUGUCAAAAAUCCGGGCUUAACCCGGGGGAGGCAUUCGAAACGGCACGACUAGAAUUAGUGAGAGGUAUGCAGAACUCAUGGAGUAGGGGUGAAAUCCGUUGAUCUCAUGGGGAAUACCAAAUGCGAAGGCAGCAUACUGGCACUAUAUUGACACUGAGGCACGAAAGCGUGGGUAGCGAAU